rnacentral:rRNA from 1 species
GACGAAGGGGGCUAGCGUUGUUCGGAAUUACUGGGCGUAAAGCGAGUGUAGGUGGUUGUCCAAGUUGGAUGUGAAAGCCUUGAGCUCAACUCAAGAAAUGCAUUCAGGACUGGGCGACUUAGAGGACCGGAGAGGAUAGUGGAAUUCCCAGUGUAGUGGUGAAAUACGUAGAUAUUGGGAAGAACACCAGUGGCGAAGGCGCUAUCUGGACGGUUUCUGAACACUAAGACUCGAAAGCGUGGGGAGCAAACAGG